AGUUGCCCUCAGGACAAUGUGUGAAUGCAUUUUUCAACAAAAGAAUAAUUAUCUGGUAACAUUUACUUUGUUGGAGAUAUGGUAGCGAUUACUAGACUCUGGGUCCAGAGUUCGAGACGUGCUGACACAUUCCUUUUUAUAUAAAGAGCCAUAUCUGAAGGAGUCCAUUUUUGAAAAUUCUAACUGUAUACGUAUAGCCCCUUAAAAUAAAUUAUUUGCACUAAAUUAAGCAAUACAUAUACUAACAUACAUAUACACACUAAUAGUCUAAAAUAUAAGCUAAUACUUGUGUGCUAAAUAAAACUUCAA